CAACAAGGAACAAAUUACAUCUCCCCCUAUUGUUACAGAUGGAGUAUCUCCGGUCUAGCCACUGAGCUUCAGUCUCUUAUUUAUCAGGAAUAAUAUUUUGUAUAAGAACCCUGCUGAGGGGAGGGAAUUGAGAACAAAGCGACAAAAAAAAAACUGGACUCGGAGAUGCCAGGACUCCCCAUGAGCUUGUGGAAUAACGGUGACAACAAGGCAAUGUUGUUCUUCCUCUUGGUCCACUCCUACAGCUAAUGUAUGGCUGUCAGCUGAGAGAAAAUGGAACAUCAAGUGGACUGUAUCAUUUUUCAGUCAAUGGAGAGUAUGUGCUCUCUAUGGACAUGGACAGCCCUCAAUGGCUCUCAUAUUUGCCACAGGAUUUGGAAAUUAAGAACAUUCUAGACAGUUCGCCCUGAAGCUGUGAUCAGAAGCCAGCGUGCUGGUUCUCUCAACUGUGUGGUGACAGGGUUUUACCCUAAAGAUAUCACUGUGGAGUGGAUGGUUGAUGGACAGCCAGCCUUAGAUGGAAUAUCAACAGGUCUCCUGCCAAAUCAUGACCAAACAUACCAGAUUCAG